AUAGUCUUAAUAUGUGCUGUCUCUCCCCUGCUCACAUGGCUCAAAGCAAAGAACUCCAAGAUGAUAGAAUGAGGAUCAACAGAUCCCAGAUUCCUAUGUCACUGAUUGAAGGAGUGACAGCCUGAGCAGCAGCCUCAACUGAUGAACUGUGAUGUUUUCUCUAGGAUACAGCAAAUAUCUGGAUUGCUUUGUUUUGUUUCAUUUUAGUCCAAUCUGAGGAUAUUUUUCUUUUGACUGGAUAAAAUCUUGAGAGUGGUACUACUUACUGCAUCAGAGAUUUUAAGCAUUUUUAUAGCUGUUCACAUGCAUUGUUGGAUUGCUUUCCAGCCAUUCUCUUCUUGAGUGGCUGACCUUUGUUCAGGGCAUUUUGCUGCUGGAGCCCACUGCUGCUGGUUUUUACACUGCAGGCCAGAAGUGCCAGCUAAUACCCCUCCGGAGCGGCUCUCACUCAGUGCCUGAAGGAAGUUGGGGGACUGGGCCGCGAUGACGUGAGCCCGGAGCUGCGUGCGCCCGUGUAGAAGGAGCCUGUCUGCCACAGCAUGGGAUGGAAGAGAGCUGAGGCGGCUGGAGAGCAAAGGGGUCCUGGCCAAAUCGAUGCGGUUCCUGAAUCCAGUCAACCUGAAGGCGGGCACCACGGCUUUCUCGCAACGCCGUGAGGUUCAGAAGACCUCCCACGACCGCAUGUCUUGGCCAGGAACAGCCAGUACCUGUGUGUCUCGGUGUCGGUGUCGGUCGUCCGCUCCGCGUGUCUGCCAUCUAGCUGCUCCACCUGUGAACGUUGAGGCCCCGGGGGCGGGGACGCGGGUGCCGGUAUUCGUCGCCACAGCGGUGACCCCCUGCUCUUCCCCCAACCCUCCCGGGCCACGUGAGGCCCAGGGAAGGACUCUGGGCCGCCGGCCGCUGGCUGCACUGGAGAACGGGUUCCUGCCCCUUCCCGGUCCCGCCGUCCUUCUAGCAGCUGCGCGGGCAGCCGCGUGCGUGCGGUG